rnacentral:lncRNA from 1 species
AGCUCUCUAGAGGGAUCGGCUCGAAUGGCUGAACAGAAGGAACCUGAAUUUGUUGACACGAUGUCUCCUCAGCCUGAGUGGGGACCAGUGAUUGCCUUGGAUUCUGAUGGCAGAGCAGUUUAUCCGCGAUUUGUUUACGAUGCUUUACCAGAAAAGAGACAUUAAAUCAAAAGCAAGCACAGCACUGGGGAAAGCUGCUGUGUCCCUGAACUUGGUACUUCCUGUCAAUGUGAACACUCACUAAUGCUACAGUUUUAGGCAGUGAUUCCAGAUUCCAAUAGAACCUUUGGACACUGAAUCUCCAGGGAGAACCUUUAAGAACAGACCAUGUACCUGCAACAGAGGACCCUGGGAACCUUGCGCCUGGGUUCUGAUGCACCGUAUAUCAUGCAUCUUUUUCUUCAUUGAACUUGCCUUGUCUUCUUUUCCCAUGAUGCAUCACAGCCAAUGAACACUACCAUAUGCUGACUCUUAUGUCCUGGAGAGCAAUCACGUCCAUCCAAGUGCUCAGGGGAACGCUCAACACACAACUAUUCUAAACGUAGUUUCUGAACUGAGUGGACGGUGGUUUAAGAUUGCAAAGGUCUACACUGAAUCAUCAAAAUGGGGCUGACGUGACGAUGAGGCCUGUGCAGUCACACAGGACCCCCUGAUUUUUAGAGGACUCCUCCCAAGUCUGUGCUGAGCUGUGAACAUUCAACAGGUCUCAAAACUCUUAAUACAGAGUCUUAA